rnacentral:sRNA from 1 species
GACACGGCCUGGGAGCUACCUCUUCUUUUAAUAGAAAGUUCCAAUAGCAGCUCCUGUGAAGCGCAUAGGCCCACAACUAUCAUAAGAUCUCCCCUCCACACGAGCCUUGGUGUUGCCGCAGUGUGCUUUGCUUAUCCGCAUCAAGACGCGGAUAUGUAAGUGAAGAAGCAGGUGAGAGUACACUCCACAUGGCCAAAUGGAGCUAACUCUGCAAUCCAACACAGCAGGCAGAGAUGACGGGCAGGAAAAUAAGCUCACACUUGAUGGAGAAUUAAAAUAUUCCGCGAGGAAUCCCCAACCAUCCGCUUCUCAAUCCUUCCUGGCCACGAUGGCAGUGGAUGGCUGAGGCGGUCAAUAUAUGAGGAUGAAGCUCUUCACAGGUGACGAUUUCGGAAGCUGAGCUUCACGUUGGACUAGCGAGCUCGCAAUAUUUUAUGUUCGAAUGCGUCGCGCGGCCCGGUGCCCGAGCCGUAGCGCAAGAGUUGUGACCUUCUGACCUUGUUUUGGAAUUUCGAUUAUGCUGAAUGAAUUAAGGCAGGAACC